rnacentral:rRNA from 1 species
UAUGCUUUGGGGAGCUGUACGUAAGCGUUGAUCCAGAGAUUUCCGAAUGGGGAACCCACUAUCUUUAGUCGGAUAGUAUCCUUACGUGAAUACAUAGCGUGAGGAAGGCAGACCCAGGGAACUGAAACAUCUAAGUACCUGGAGGAAGAGAAAGAAAAAUCGAUUUCCUGAGUAGCGGCGAGCGAAACGGAAAGAGCCCAAACCAAGAAGCUUGCUUCUUGGGGUUGUAGGACACUCUAUACGGAGUUACAAAAGAAAGUUAUAAAUGAAGCGGUCUGGAGGCCCGCCAAAGACGGUAACAGCCCGGUAGUUGAAAUAGCUUUCCCUCCAGAGUGGAUCCUGAGUACGGCGGAACACGUGAAAUUCCGUCGGAAUCCGGGAGGACCAUCUCCCAAGGCUAAAUACUCCCUAGUGACCGAUAGUGAACCAGUACCGUGAGGGAAAGGUGAAAAGCACCCCGGAAGGGGAGUGAAACAGUUCCUGAAACCGUGUGCCUACAAGUAGUUAGAGCCCGUUAAUGGGUGAUAGCGUGCCUUUUGUAGAAUGAACCGGCGAGUUACGAUUUGUUGCAAGGUUAAGCGGAAAAAGCGGAGCCGUAGCGAAAGCGAGUCUGAAUAGG